rnacentral:rRNA from 1 species
CCUGCGGUGCUUACCAUGCAGUCGAACGGAGAUUCAGCAAUGGAUCUUAGUGGCGAACGGGUGAGUAACGCGUAGGCAAUCUGCCUUCUAGAUGGGGACAACAUCCCGAAAGGGGUGCUAAUACCGAAUGUUGUAAUUGGUUCGCAUGGACUAGCUACUAAAGGUGGCCUCUGAAUAUGCUACCGCUAGAAGAUGAGCCUGCGUCUGAUUAGCUAGUUGGAGGGGUAACGGCCCACCAAGGCUUCGAUCAGUAGCCGGUCUGAGAGGAUGAACGGCCACACUGGGACUGAGACACGGCCCAGACUCCUACGGGAGGCAGCAGUGGGGAAUCUUCCGCAAUGGACGAAAGUCUGACGGAGCAACGCCGCGUGAGUGAAGAAGGUUUUCGGAUCGUAAAGCUCUUUCGUUAGGGACGAACGUGCUCUUUGUGAAUAAUGAGGAGUAAUGACGGUACCUAAAUAAGAAGCCACGGCUAACUACGUGCCAGCAGCCGCGGUAAUACGUAGGUGGCAAGCGUUGUCCGGAAUUAUUGGGCGUAAAGCGCGCGCAGGCGGGAUAUCAAGUCUGUCUUAAAAGUGCGAGGCUCAACCUCGUGAGGGGACGGAAACUGGUAUUCUUGAGUGUCGGAGAGGAAAGUGGAAUUCCAAGUGUAGCGGUGAAAUGCGUAGAGAUUUGGAAGAACACCAGUGGCGAAGGCGACUUUCUGGGACGAUGUCUGACGCUGAGGCGCGAAAGCUAGGGGAGCGAACGGGAUUAGAUACCCCGGUAGUCCUAGCCGUAAACGAUGGGUACUAGGUGUAGGGGGUAUCGACCCCUCCUG